ACCUGGCAGCAAAGAGCACCGAGCACAGCUUUGCUGAGACAGAAGGAUGGGGACAUUUUGGCAGUGGAACUGGAGAGCAGGGUUGUGGCCAUGGUACAGGCUUCCUGGGGAAAAGGGAGCACUGUCUGGGCACAGGGCUUGGUAGUGGAAUGUCCAUAAUAAGGAAAAGAUGAGAGGUGAAUAAUUAACACUUGAAUGUGAACAGAAACAGUUGCCAUACAUCUCUCUGUGUCCUAUAGACAUAUGAAUAGCUUAUGGAACAUGUUUAUGUGCCUGUUUUUUCCCCUUACAAACACUGAUGGAGCACAUGACACAAAUCUUCCCCUGGCGCGUGCGUGCACACAUACACACACACACACACACACUAAUCCCUUUCACGCUGGUAUGUCAAAGAAAGCUAUUUCUGGAACGUGAAAUCUAGGUCAAAAAGAAGGAGAAAGUCUGAAGGCAAUGAUAAGUCUCUCUCCUGAAAGGGUGCUCUGGCUGAUUGAAUUAGCAAUGGGGUUAGGGUGGUUCCUUACUCCUCGUCUGUGGCUGCUCAUGCACAGGUUGAACAGCAUCUCCUGGCCUGGUUUGGUUUCUCCUUUGCCUUCACACCACUACUUGUUCCCCAUAAAGAAGAGAAGACCAUGACAGCCAAGAGAGGAAAGGAGCAGAACUUGCCUUCCCACCCAGACGCUGGAAGCCAUGGAAACCUAUCCCACAGUGAACCAGCCCUUGGGGAUUUGGUCAGCAUGAUGAUGCUUUGUGCUGAGAGGUGCACGGAGGUGUGCAGGUAUUUGGUCUUUCCUCCACUGAGCACAGCCGUGGUCCCCUUGCAAGAGCAUCAGUACCAGGGGACUGGGCUGGGUUCUCCAGAGGCAGGGUUCCCAGCACAGUGAUGGUUCUGGGAGCCAUCUCUCUAAUUUAAGGAUGAAAGUAAAUAAAUCAAAGAAGCAAAAAGAAGGCAGAAAGCA